rnacentral:tRNA from 1 species
GAGGGCUUAGGUUAAAGAUAUUUUAAACUAUUGGUCUUCAAAACCGAACAUGCGUCAAAGUAGCUCUUG